CCUACGGGGUGCUGCAGUGAGGAAUAUUGGUCAAUGGACGAGAGCCUGAACCAGCCAAGUAGCGUGAAGGAUGACGGAUCUAUGGGUUGUAAACUUCUUUUAUAUGGGAAUAAAGUGAGGAACGUGUUCCUUUUUGUAUGUACCAUAUGAAUAAGCAUCGGCUAACUCCGUGCCAGCAGCCGCGGUAAUACGGAGGAUGCGAGCGUUAUCCGGAUUUAUUGGGUUUAAAGGGUGCGUAGGUGGUUAAUUAAGUCAGCGGUGAAAGUUUGUGGCUCAACCAUAAAAUUGCAGUUGAAACUGGUUGUCUUGAGUAUAUUUGAGGUAGGCGGAAUGCGUGGUGUAGCGGUGAAAUGCAUAGAUAUCACGCAGAACUCCGAUUGCGAAGGCAGCUCACUAAACUAUAACUGACACUGAAGCACGAAAGCGUGGGGAUCAAACAGGAUUAGAUACCCCGGUAGUC
rnacentral:rRNA from 1 species